UCCUCUCCCUGCCGCGGUGCCGCCGCCCUUUCUCUGCUCUUUGCCUGCCCACCGCCGCCUCGCCUCCCCUUCUCCCUCUCCGCCUGCCUCCAUCGCCCCUCCCCGUCGCCGCCCGCUCCCGUGCCGGAUCCAGAUUCGGCGCGACGGCGUGCUGCUCGAUAGAGGCGCAGAGCGCAGGCAUGAGCGGCGGCGCGCAUGGGUAGCAGGGUGCUCCCCUAGCGGCAGUAGUGCCGUGAGCUCGCCGCCAGGAGGCAGCUCGACCUCCGCCCCAAAUGAGCGCAGUCACACUCGCCCACCCCACGACUCCUCUCCCAAAUCGGCGUCGGGACGCUCGCCCAACCCGCGAGGCCGUGACUUCUUCUCCUCCCCGUGCCUCUUGCCAACGCGCCGCCUCCUCCUUGACCGUGAAUCCUUCCACCACCCAGCUCCUCCACCCACAGCUUCUUUUGUGCCUCCCCUCUCCUAAAGUUUCGCGCAAUCCAUCCAGUUCCUCGUGGAGGAAGUGAUAUAGGCAGGGAUGGCGUCCGAGGAGGAGGCGGAUGGAUCUGCAAUGGAGGCCUUCUCUCAGCAAAUUUGCACGUGUAGGACCUGGUGGUUGCACAGAAAUUGGAGAUGGCUCAUCCUGUCGACUCCCUCUCUACUUCGCACGUUCACUGAUGAUUAGUAUUGAUGGACAGCUCACGUCUUCACUGCUGGUCACAGAUCAUAUAGAAAAUACUAGAUCAAGGGGGCCUCCCUGCUAUUGUUGGCAGCACAAACUUCUACAUCCAGGCCCUUAUUAGCCCAAUCACGAGCACUAGGAGCUCAAGAACGCACUGGCCACCGUGGUCCCGCCCACCAACCCCAUGGAGCUCACCAACCAUGACCUCGAGCAGUUCCAAACCGUGCCUGCUUCAGUUGCGGCUAGCUUCUGUGUGCCCUUCGUCUCCGGCAAGAAGAGUUCGGACCUGAAGUCUGCAUCGACUUUGGCCUGCAAAGUUUGUACCAUGGUGAUUUGCUUUUGGUUUUAGUUAGUAUUUAAAGCUGUCAGCUAGGUUGUUUGGUAGCUAUGCACACUUGCUGUUGCAGGUAGAUUUAUGGUGCUCGGAUGUGCUAUAAUAUGGAUGCUCCAAAUGCCGGACCGACACCUGAUGGUAGGAUAGAUUGGUGCUCAGAUGUAACUAUGGUGAUUGGAUGUACUAUGAUGUUGAUGAUUGAGAUGCCGGAUAGACACCCGAUGGAUAGAAUAGCUUCAUGCUCGAAUGUAUUGUAAUAUUUUGUAUUUAGAUGCCAGAAAGACACCUAAUACACCUAAUGGCUAGGAUAGUUUUUUGUGCUCAAAUGUGCUGUAAUAUUUAUGAUUCAAAUGCUAGAUAGAUAGUUAACAUGA